GUACUCACUUCAGCAGCACAUAUACUAAAAUUGGAACAAUAGGGAGAAGAUUAGCAUGGCCCCUGUACAAGGAUGACACGCAAAUUCGUGAAGCAUUCUAUAUUUUU
ensembl:snRNA U6 U6 spliceosomal RNA